rnacentral:rRNA from 1 species
GUGCAGCAGUCGCGCAACCUCUGCAAUACGCGAAAGCGUGACAGGGCUACCCCGAGUGCCGUCCGCUGAGGAUGGCUUUUCUCCGGUGUAGUAAGCCGGAGGAAUAAGGAGAGGGCAAGUCUGGUGUCAGCCGCCGCGGUAAUACCAGCUCUCCGAGUGGUAGGGACGAUUAUUGGGCCUAAAGCGUCCGUAGCCGGCCAAGCAAGUUUCCCGUUAAAUCCAGCGAUCCAAUCGUUGGACUGCGGGAAAUACUGUUUGGCUAGGGGGCGAGAGAGGCCAACGGUAUUCCCGGGGUAGGGGUGAAAUCCCAUAAUCCCGGAAGGACCACCAGUGGCGAAGGCGGCCGACAAAAACGCGCCCGACGGUGAGGGACGAAAGCUGGGGGAGCGAUCGGGAUUAGAUACCCCGGUAGUCC